UCCAUGAAAGUCUUCAGCUUGGCCCUUGGAGUUCAUCUGACCAAAGCUGGUGGCUGCUGCUCGACUGCCCAGCCCUGGGGUCUCUGGGCUGUAGGAUGGGAGGCCUGAUGCCCCUCGGUCCUUGGCUCCUGCCUGGCUGUUCCUAGGGAAGCUGGGUUUCUUCAUGGUGACCUGCACAGCUGGCCUGUGGGCAGCACCUGAAAAGCUCUCCAGCUCUUUUGCUCCUGGAAGCAGAAUUGUCCCCAAGUCAGGUGGCCUUCAGCACAAGCCAAGCAGGUCAAGUGUUACAAUAAACAAGGUACAGACACAGCCCAUGUGUUGGACCACACUGGAAUCCCGAAGGGAUGAAGCACAGGGAUGAGACUCCUCUGUGAGAAGGAACAUCAUCUCCACAUUGUCAUCCUUGACCCAGGUAGAAGAGGGAUCCACAGAACAACUAGCAUCCAACUUUGAAAGAACGUGUUCUGAUCUCUGCUGGCCACAGACCUCAUCUGCUGCCGUGUCCCUCCUCCAGGGAGAAGGAACUCCUGUGAACAGCACUGUAGGAACCGCAGCUGUGACAGCAUCCAACAUGGCACGGGAUGUCUUUACUGUGCCAGUAAUUACCAAAAUGGAAAAAGAGAUUUUUCUGUCCCAAACCCUCACGAUUUUACUUAUCUGAUUUAAAUUGAUUUGAAUAGGAACAAAGAGAAAUUACAUCCUUAGGUGAUUACUGACUGGUGGUCUGAUGCUUCUGCCAUAUAAACCUGAUGUCAUCAAAGCUGGUGGACCCAGAGAUGAACCAAAGCUCCCAAGCCUGCCUGCCCUCUUGUCCCACUGCACCUGAGGCCCCUGAGCUGCCCAUGCUGUUGUGCCCAGUGCAGAGGCUGCAGGGAAAACACGGCCCACCAGUGAGACAUGUUUAGGAAGAGGCUGUGGAGCCCAGCUCUGUGGGUGCUCUGCUGCACAACCAAGCCCACAUUGCAGAGUCUUCCUGAGUAUCUUCCAGGGUCUGAGCUCCACUGAGUGUUUGUCUUGGCUCUGUUCUGUUCAGCUCCUUCCCUGCACCUUCAGAGGCAAGCCUCUUCCCCAAAAUCCACGCUGUUUGGCAUUCAUCCUGCAGCCAAAGAGAGCUCCUUCAGCAGUGGGAUCUGCCCAAGAGGCAAUGGGAAUGGUCAUCUCACUCCUACUGACUUGCCUGGAAAUUCAGUAUCAGGAUGCACACGAAGCCACUGGAUGUACUGAGAGUCUUCAGGACUGUGAUGAUCCUCUGUUCAGUUAACAAUGAUUUUUAUAAAUGCAGCAUCAAGAAGAGAUACUUGAUAACUGCUCAGGACAGAAAUGGAGCAUCAGCACUUGAGUCAAAUGAAAGUGAGAGGAAGAAAUGAGAAGAAGAAAUCAAGGCACAAGUAUGAUUGUUCACAUUUGAUUCUGAGGAAGUCACUGCUGGGAAUGCUGCCACUUGCUAAUGAAGAACCUUCUUAUGCCAAGAUUCAGACUGGAAGGAAAAAUUGAUUGCUUAAGUUUGAUCAGGAUGGUGUUACAAAAAGCAGUGGCAAUCUUUUUUGUGCCUGUCUGAUGCACUGCCCAAGCACUUCUAGGGAGAGACAGUAAAGGGAGACCGUCCAUCAGCAUCACUUAAUUUAAACCAGUGUUAAUUUUGUGGCUGUGUUUAAAGCACUUGGGAUGUGAUACUAAAACCACCUCUGCUAUAAAACUAAGCACACUUGGGUGUGCCUAAGGGAUGGGAAUGCUGGUAUGGGAGCCACUUAAGCCAAGUUCAUACGUGGGAAUCUCAGCUGAGCCUGAGUCAAACUCCAAAUACUGUCUGAGACACUUCUGUGAGAACUGAGAGUAAUCUGAACUGUUGUGCCAAUAUUAAUAAAUUAAACUGUGAAUGUCCUGUGCUUGUAGAUUGCUUUCAGCAUGGGCCCUGAAGCUGUAAACUGUGCUUAAAUAUGAGGAAGACAGAGAGAUCUGUGUUCCAGACUCAGGGAAAUCCAGCUGAUAGCCCAGCCUUUUGCAGGAAUGCCACCAGGAUUUGUUAAAAUGAUCUGUUCAGUGAAUGGUCUUCUGGCAGUAUUAGGUGACUUUCUGUACAGGCACUGGAAUCUCCAAGAAAAGUGAAGUUCCUGGAUCAGGUUUGCUCUCAUUUAAGCAAGUGCAACGAAGACAGUGACCCCCAUUAUUACCCUGGAGUCUCACUGAUGAGAGAACGAGCUCCAUCAGCUCCCCCUCACCAAAGCACACACCACCCCCUCGGGCUGUGCAUGGUGUGGUCACAGUGUCAUCGACUGCAAGUUGCUGCUUUUACCUUGGUUAAAAACCCGUUUGCUGAACAAGCAGAUGGUGUAAACCAGCAACAGAGGGAGCCCAGUGACCGAGGGGUGGCAUUAAUGGAACUAAUUGACCCUAAGAUACUCUUAUCAGUCUGAUCAUUGGCCUUUAUUAGGUAUUUAUCUGUCUCCUGGUUUCUUUUCAAGGCAGAUAUUUAAGUUAUGGUUUAUACACUUCAGUGCACAUGUGUGAUAUUGGAUCUAAUUAGAAAAAAAUACUAAAUGAUGCCAAAACUAAUCCGUAGCUGUCACUCAGAUACUUGAUUACUGUGUUGCUAAUUCUGCCUUUCUUGCUCCAGUGAGUAGGGCUGACCUUAGGACUUCUGUGGGCUCAGACACUGAUGGAUUUCAACGAGGUCUUUUUACUCAGGGUGAAUCAGGGGGCACUUAAUAUUCCAGAGUAUCUGCAAGAGCUGGUGAGGCUCCUCUCACAGAGCUGCUCUGAUGAGCAGAGUGAUGCAGCCAGUCCAAACCGAUGCUGCAGCGAGAGCACUGUGGCCUGAAGGAAUCCUUUAAGAACUGCUUGACUAUGGAAAAUGAUGGUCCCUCUCCAAGAGAAUUUUGUGGCCUUAAGGCUUCUCUGCUCUGUGCUACAAAAGAAACUAUUUGCAAACAUGGCUGGACAGAAAUGACCACAUCUGCUCAAGUGUGGCCUCGUGCUAGUGCAGAAAUGUGGAGAAAGAUAUUGCUGCAAUGAAGAUGCAGACCUAAUUUUCUACUCAAAGAGAAAUCUGGAGCCAGCAAAAACAUCUUCUUUGUGUACAACAGAAUCCGGAGCAAAGCCAUCUGCUGCUAAAGCAAUACUUAAACUCUCCCUUCUUCUCUUCCUGAAACAAACCACAGAUCCACAAUUUCCAAGUGUGCUGAAUCCACCAGGCUGCAGGAAGGCUGCUGAGGAAUAAAACAAGCUCUGGAAUCCAAGAAGAGGCGAACAGCAGUGAGCAGGGAGGAGGAAGGACCAGUAGUCAUGGGGAUGGAUUUUCCUCCACUGUGCAGUUUCCCUCCACCUUGUCAAACACCUUAUCUUGCAAUUUCAUUCUCAAUUAUUUAAUCUGUUCUGUAGUACAAAUGUUUUCCCUAUGUUGGAUUUCAUAUAUAAAUAUCUGCAGAUGGCAUAUUGCUUUCUGAACUGAUAUGACUGUACAUGAACCUGCUUGGAAAGAGCAUGCACACCCUAUUAAGUGUAUCAUUUGCCUUAUUGUAAUUAAGAUAAUGAGAUUUUCACUAUAAAUUGAUAUUUUAGUUUAUACUCCACAGAUACAAAAAUAUUCCUGAAAAGCAAAGCAUGGCACAUUGCAUUAGCACAUGGUGAAAAGGGGCAUUAUUUUUAUUAUUGUUUUUCCAGUAAAAGUUCAUAUAUUUUGCAGUCACUUAUUUACAAAUAUUAGUAUUCAAUUCAGUGUUUCCCUACUAAAUAUUUAGAGUGGACAUUUAUGGGAUAGGAAAGGAACUGUUUUUCUUAGGAUGUGGUAAGUUGCUGUAUAAACUCUUGAAUUAGUACCUGGGUCCACUUAAGCCCUAAUAUCUCAAUCUGUGUUUUUUUGAGAGAAUGAUUUUUGAAAAGCAGUAGUAGGAUUGUUGGGAUGAGCAAUACUGAUGAAACUGCUGUUUAGAACUAAUUAUCUGGAAAUAUUGUUGGUUGUCAUGCUACUGUAUUUGCAGAAACUAGGGAUGGGGUGGAGGAGCCUCUGUCAUCCCCAGACAAACCUCCUGCUUCUCAUAUAUUUCUAUCUGUGAUGUAUUCGUCCAGCCUGUUUUUUAACCAUCUGUGGUAAUCCUACAUUAGGUACUCAAGAGCCUAAUUUACUGUUAGGAAGACUCCUUAACACCUCCCCCUAAAACUUCCUUCUCUUUAGUUUAGCCCAUUGCUUUUUAUUCUAGGUGUGGUCUGGCAGUUCUGACAUUUUAACCAAAAAUGCUACAAUACAA